CUAACAAGUUUAAUUAGCUUAAGGUUGCUUACAAUGCUCAGCGGGAUAAGUGGAAUUUGAAUGACCUCAUAGCAGUGUGUGCCCAAGAAGAGUAUAGGUUGCACCGUGAAACUGUUGAAACUGUGCAAUUAGCUUUUCAGCCAUCACAGAAUAAGGGCCUUCUCAUAAUCAUAAACCCAAAUUUCGUAAGGGUAAUAAGUCCCACCGAAGUCAGCAGAAUAAAAAUCUUAGUGGUCGCAAAGCAGUUAUAAAGAAAAAUGAUCAAUGCAAGUUCUGUAAAAAGAAGGGUCACUGGCAGAAAGACUAUUUUAAGUUCAAGACUUGGUUGGAAAAGAAGAAGAGUUCUUUAGGUAUUCCCUUGGCCUUAGUUUGUUUUGAGUCUUUUUUAGUAGAUGUACCUUUGAAUUCUUGGUGGUUAGACUCAGGAGCUAGUAUUCAUAUUGCGAAUUCUUUGCAGGGGUUCAUAAGCAAAUGGAGGCCAAGUGAGAAUGAAGUAAGCUUGAGCAUUGCAAAUGGAUUCCAAGUGAAGGUUGGAUUCAUAGGAGUAGUGAAGUUAACUUUAGAGUCUGGUUUUUAUCUUGUUUUGGAAAAUACAGUUUAUGUACCGCAGAUGAGACGGAAUUUAAUUUCUAUACCAAAACUUGAUGCUUG
rnacentral:lncRNA from 1 species